GGCGAACGGGUGAGUAACACGUGGGCAAUCUGCCCUGCACUCUGGGAUAAGCCUGGGAAACUGGGUCUAAUACCGGAUAGGACCUUUUUCCUCAUGGGGUUUGGUGGAAAGUUUUUCGGUGCAGGAUGAGCCCGCGGCCUAUCAGCUUGUUGGUGGGGUAAUGGCCUACCAAGGCGACGACGGGUAGCCGGCCUGAGAGGGUGAUCGGCCACAUUGGGACUGAGAUACGGCCCAG
rnacentral:rRNA from 1 species